GUUUGCACUUGUCGGGGAAGGGUGAGAACCUUCGAUUAAGGUUCGACUCGAGCGAAAGCGAGAGAACGUUGCCAACGGCAACGGCCCGUAGGGUGAGGAGC
rnacentral:sRNA from 1 species